AUGACUCGCAACGAGCAUAUUGCUCUAGAGGAAGGGACGACUACCGAAUCUUCAAUGACAGAUAAACAGAUGUGGUCUCGUUUGUGGAAGCUCAAAGUCAUUCCCAAAGUGAGAGUCUUCUGGUGGCGGGUGUUGCAAGGCAUUCUCCCCGUCGAAGCCACUCUGAAAUACCGCCAUAUUGCGACGGUAAGCACAUGCAAAUUGUGUCUUCAGUCUGAUGAAGAUAUGAUGCACGCACUACUGGAGUGCCCUCGCGCGAGGCAGUUUUGGGAUGCAACACCAGGGUGGCUAAAUGUUAAAAGGCCGAUCCUGCACCCGCUAACCUGGUCAAGGGAUAUCCUAUGUGACGAUAUAUUUUCAGUCUGA
rnacentral:rRNA from 1 species